ACCGAGUGCGGGCCCCUCGGGGCCCAACCUCCCACCCGUGUUGCCCGAACCUAUGUUGCCUCGGCGGGCCCCGCGCCCGCCGACGGCCCCCCUGAACGCUGUCUGAAGUUGCAGUCUGAGACCUAUAACGAAAUUAGUUAAAACUUUCAACAACGGAUCUCUUGGUUCCGGCAUCGAUGAAGAACGCAGCGAAAUGCGAUAACUAAUGUGAAUUGCAGAAUUCAGUGAAUCAUCGAGUCUUUGAACGCACAUUGCGCCCUCUGGUAUUCCGGAGGGCAUGCCUGUCCGAGCGUCAUUGCUGCCCUCAAGCCCGGCUUGUGUGUUGGGCCCCGUCCCCCCCGCCGGGGGGACGGGCCCGAAAGGCAGCGGCGGCACCGCGUCCGGUCCUCGAGCGUAUGGGGCUUCGUCACCCGCUCUAGUAGGCCCGGCCGGCGCCAGCCGACCCCCAACCUUUAAUUAUCUCAGGUUGACCUCGGAUCAGGUAGGGAUACCCGCUGAACUUAACCGUAUCAAUAACCGGAUGAAAAGAAACCAACCGGGAUUGCCCUAUUAACGACGAGUGAAGCGGCAAGAGCUCAAGUUUGAAAGCUGGCCCCCUCUGGGUCCGCGUUGUAAUUUGCAGAGGAUGCUUCGGGAACGGCCGUCAUCUAGUGCCCUGGACGGGUCGUCAUAUACGGAGAAAUCCCAUCUGGCAUAGGGUGAGCGCGCUGUGUGAACUCCUUCGAGAGUCUAUUCUUGUAAUGCAAUCUAAUGGUGGUAAUUUAGCUCAGCUAAUAUUACCGGAGACCGAUCGCCACAUUAGAUGAUCG
rnacentral:sRNA from 1 species